CAUAAAUAUGUUUCCUGUUACAAAACACGAAAGAAAGGACAACAACAGACGGUUUGGUCAAAUAUACUCAAAGACAUAACCAAGAUAUUGCGACAACUCUAAGAAUUUGAAGAUCUGCAAUUGAUAUUUAUUUGAUUCAAGGUCCAUAUAAUUAAUUACUAUACAUUCUAUAGUUUCAACAUCUAUAAUGUCUAUUAUUGAUAUUUAUUUGAUCAUUGUCCAGUCCCUGUGAUCAUUGUCCAGUCCUUGGGAUCAUUGUCCAGUCCUUGUGAUCCUUGGCCAGUCUAUGUGAUCCUUGUCC